CAAAUCUAUAAGAGGUGGUGGGAUAUUAUGUGUAGGCUUCUUCUCAUGGAUUAAUAACUCUCUCCUUUAACCGUAAUCUGACAGGAUUUAAAUGAAACUUGCACCAAAUCUGUAGAACUUCUCUGUUGUUUACUUCCUAUUUUAUUGUCUGAUUUGAAUGCGUUUUAGAAUUUCCAUAGCCGCCUUAUCUUUUCAAAUGGGAUUGAGAGUGAGGGUAUGAAUAUGAGGGUUUACUCAAAGCCUUUUUUUGUUUUUGUUUAUUUUAGUUUGAUUUAUUAGAAAUUAUGCUUACAGCGGG
rnacentral:lncRNA from 1 species